UACGAAGGGGGCUAGCGUUGUUCGGAAUUACUGGGCGUAAAGGGCGCGUAGGCGGCUCUGAUCGUCGGAUGUGAAAGGCCUGGGCUCAACCUGGGAACUGCAUCCGAUACGGCGGGGCUGGAGUGUGGGAGAGGUUGGUGGAAUUCCCAGUGUAGAGGUGAAAUUCGUAGAUAUUGGGAAGAACACCGGUGGCGAAGGCGGCCAACUGGACCACAACUGACGCUGAGGCGCGAAAGCGUGGGGAGCAAACAGG
rnacentral:rRNA from 1 species